CUAGUGAAAGGUGUCCCUGCUCAUGGCAGGUGGGCUGGAAUUAGAUGAUCUUUGUGGUCCCUACCAGCUCAAACCAAACUGUGGCUCAGGAAAGGCACAGACAGAGCCUCUUGUGCUUUAUGCACAAGUGGAUUCAAAAUAGCUUCCUAAGAAUACAUGGGAACAUUUCCCAAUCUCCUAUGAUCUCACUGGAUGUACUGUUUUUUCCCGGUGUUGAGGUGCUCACCUUGACCACUGCAGCGGCCCAACUGACCAACAAGGCUGUGCCUGCAACCAGGGUGCAGAAACAGGCCCUGGGGCAAGGAGCAUGUCCAGUGUAGUUCAAAGUGCUGCAUAGCACACCUCCAUGAGGCAGGGUGUGAUGCCACCCAAGAUAAAAUGUAAGCCCACCACUCAGGAAGAGAAGGUAUCCAAAUAAAGCACAGAAUAAUGGAAUCAUUAAGAUUGGAAACUAUCUCCAGAUGCACGUAGGAGGGCUUACCUGGACUGAGAGAUUAACUUCUGGAAAGCAGCCAGCACAUUUGAAGGAGCUGUCAAGAUGUCCUUUAGGGCAUGGUAACUGAAGUGAACCUCACCCUUAGAAAUUUAUAAAACAAUCUGCCUUGGGAUAAGAGCUCUUUACUUGCUUCAAGUGUAUGAGGGGGAAGGUUGUGAUGUUCAUGAUGACUUCAGGCUGCUGGCAGGAUGAAGACAUGAAAUGGACAAAUGAGAUUUGCUGAGUCUUGUAAAAUGAAAGCUGAGGUGGGAUUCUGUUGCUGUCGAUUGAUAGGAAAGUAAAUGUCAGGGAAGGGGGAAUGUACAGCAGAUGAAGAAGAAGUGAGUAUCAUGAGCAGGUGAAUGUAUUCAAGCUGUAAAUUAUAAUAAUGUUGGUAACCAUCAUGUCAAAAUUUAAAAAGAUGCAAGAAAGCCUCCAGGAAGAACAAAUUCUCUGAAGUUUACAUACGGGGCUUGAUGCAUUUCUGACAAAUAUAUUAUAUGGUUUCCUGUUUGAGAAAAUAACCUGCCUUAAUACAUUAGACGUACACUUCCUUAUAUAAAGAAAGGUAGCUUCAUGUUUCCAUAAAACUAUUUCUUGUUUUACAUCAAGGAAAAUGUGAAAAGCAAGAAACAAUGCAUAUAAAGACACGAGGACAUAGCAAAGUGCAUGCAUCACCUCCCAGCUGCCCCUGUGAUGCUCUAAUUCUGCUUCACAAAGGAGUCAGAGGAAUAGGCAGCAGCUCACAUGAGACUGUAGAACAUGUUCGACUGAAUCCUCUAAGAUCUAAACUGAGCCAGCAAUGCAGAGUUCAGGGGAAAUAUUUCUCGUUAUCUCAGAAACUAGGUGGUUAUGGACACCAGUAUGACCUGGAAGGGGCUGAACAAACUCAACCCCUGUAACGCCCAUUUGUCACUUGAAGUAAGUACAAGACUGAGGAACGUUUGAAUCUGGGGGCAGCAGCUCAGAUGACUUGUUCUAUUUGGCUUGCAAAAUUGUUCCUGUCUGUGCAGAUGAAAUCCCUGUGCUCACUGCCAUGACUGUGCAGAAUGCAGUUAUUUUAAAAAAGGAUUAUCUCUUUUUUACAGACAAAAGAACCUAUUGUAUUUCUAUGUAUUUAUUUAUUUCCCCUGCAGAACAGAGGAGAAGGCUUUUAGGUAUAGAAAAUAUGCAGGUUUUAAAACAAAUUUAAGACAGGACCAGCCAGAAGUUCCAGACAAGUAAUCUGGUCUGAUUUAUGGAGCAGCACAGUUUUAUUCAGGUUAAUAGGUUUAUUCGUUUAAUCCACAUUAAGUGGAACUGGAGCAUUGAUGUUUCAUAAAGAUAUUGGAGGCUCCCAGAGAUCAAGAAGCCACCUCUUCUACUGUUGAGCAGUGGCUUUUUUCAUUCAUUGUACAAAACCCUUCACUUUGUGUUUUCUUUGCAUGUAUCUGGCUUCAGCCUACACCUGUUAAUUCUUUUUUCUCUCUGCUGUUAACAAUGCCCAUUGGAAACAAAACUGUCUUCACAUGAAGGUCCUCCUUGAUAUGUUAGCACUGUGAUCUGCUUCUGACAAAUUAAGUAGAUUGAACUUUUUCACUCUCUCACAUGGAUAUAUCUGGCCAGAUGUGCACUUCUACCCAACAGAUGGCUGUACAGCACUAGUCACCAUCCCUCUGGAGUCAGCUCAGACAAAUGAGCUCUUUCACGGUGAAGUUCAUCUCAUCCCAAAGUGAAUCUUUAAACCAGAAUGGAUAAAUGUCUCUCACAGCUUUCCUAUGUCUCUCUAGCAAUAAUCAAGGAACUCUGUGCUGGCUGCUUCUCGCUGCUUCUCAUGUCACUGCCUGCAUUAUAGACUUCUGCAUUUAGGCAAGAUGAAUCUGACUUUUGGACUAAGGCAUUUUCCCAGCUUUGAAUCAUUUCCUUGGCUUCCUCCUCUGCACAUCACACUGAUGAGGCUUUUCAGAUCUCCAGCAGAUGCAUGGUGUUAUUGCCUAUGUAUGAGACUCACUCUCAAGUGCUGGGGGUGCACACAGGGGCAGUUCACUGAAAAUCUGGUUAGGGAGAUAGAGCUGGAUUUCAGUAUUUAUGCUGUCCACAGUUUGUGCUUGCUAUUGAUUGUACCUUUUUAAUAAGUUGCAUGUGGCACAGAUGAGAAAAUACCUUAAUAAUUAUAGUCCCCUGGAAAAAGAACAGAUUAUGUAACUAUUGAUCUUAAUACUUUUGUUCCAUAACUCUUUUCCAUUUUUCUGCAUCACAAGUUUCAGCUCCUUCCAUCCAGCUUGGUUUCCAACAUUAGCCAUUCAGCUGUAUCUACUUGUACCAGGCUCAGCCACUAGCCCUGCCAGACAGCUGCCAGGUAUUUUAUUGUUAAAUAAAUUCUUACAUCUGUCAAGUUAUAAAGCAGAGACAAAUGAA